AAAAGGAAAAUUUACCCUAUAUGACGUAAAUAGGCUUAAGAUUAUAAAGAGCCGUUUGAUGCGGCAUUGCAUCAUAAUAAGGAGUGAGGCGAAACUUUCAGCGGCUCCCUGCGGCCUACAAUGAUAAUGAAGUUAACGUGGCUAUCCUGGGUGGUGGUGGCGCUGGCCUGUUGCCUGGCGCUGGCGACCUCCGCGGCGGCGGCGACCUCUGCGGCAGUGGACCGAGCGGCCGCGCCUGGCGACCUGGCAGGACCCGCCACCAGGGUCGUCAGGUCACCGCAGAGGUGGAUGGGUGGACGGCGCGGGGGGUCGUGGCGGGGCAGGGGCGGCGGUCGCAGGAGGGGGUAGCGCCACUUGCCAGAAGUGGCUAGAACUAUUCACAGUUUAUGCAUUUUAUGUUAAAGUUUUAAAAUAUUCUUAUUGUUAAUGUUGUAAACUAAUUUUUAUUUAAUAAAAAUAACGCCUAUUGAGGUUUAAAUAA